rnacentral:rRNA from 1 species
AGAUUAAGUUAUUAAGGGCGCACGGUGGAUGCCUUGGCACUAGAAGCCGAAGAAGGACGUUACUAACGACGAUAUGCUUUGGGUAGCUGUAAGUAAGCGUUGAUCCAGAGAUUUCCGAAUGGGGGAACCCAACAUGAGUUAUGUCAUGUUAUCGACAUGUGAAUUCAUAGCAUGUCAGAAGGCAGACCCGGAGAACUGAAACAUCUUAGUACCCGGAGGAAGAGAAAGAAAAAUCGAUUCCCUGAGUAGCGGCGAGCGAAACGGGAAGAGCCCAAACCAACAAGCUUGCUUGUUGGGGUUGUAGGACACUCUAUACGGAGUUACAAAAGAACAUGUUAGACGAAUCAUCUGGAAAGAUGAAUCAAAGAAGGUAAUAAUCCUGUAGUCGAAAACAUAUUCUCUCUUGAGUGGAUCCUGAGUACGACGGAGCACGUGAAAUUCCGUCGGAAUCUAGGAGGACCAUCUCCUAAGGCUAAAUACUCUCUAGUGACCGAUAGUGAACCAGUACCGUGAGGGAAAGGUGAAAAGUACCCCGGAAGGGGAGUGAAAGAGAACUUGAAACCGUGUGCUUACAAGUAGUCAGAGCCCGUUCAUGGGUGAUGGCGUGCCUUUUGUAGAAUGAACCGGCGAGUUACGAUCUGAUGCAAGGUUAAGCAGCGAAUGUGGAGCCGUAGCGAAAGCGAGUCUGAAUAGGGCGUUGAGUAUUUGGUCGUAGACCCGAAACCAGGUGAUCUACCCUUGGUCAGGUUGAAGUUCAGGUAACACUGAAUGGAGGACCGAACCGACUUACGUUGAAAAGUGAGCGGAUGAACUGAGGGUAGCGGAGAAAUUCCAAUCGAACUUGGAGAUAGCUGGUUCUCUCCGAAAUAGCUUUAGGGCUAGCCUCAAGUGAUGAUUAUUGGAGGUAGAGCACUGUUUGGACGAGGGGCCCCUCUCGGGUUACCGAAUUCAGACAAACUCCGAAUGCCAAUCAAUUUAACUUGGGAGUCAGAACAUGGGUGAUAAGGUCCGUGUUCGAAAGGGAAACAGCCCAGACCACCAGCUAAGGUCCCAAAAUAUAUGUUAAGUGGAAAAGGAUGUGGCGUUGCCCAGACAACUAGGAUGUUGGCUUAGAAGCAGCCAUCAUUUAAAGAGUGCGUAAUAGCUCACUAGUCGAGUGACACUGCGCCGAAAAUGUACCGGGGCUAAACAUAUUACCGAAGCUGUGGAUUGUCCUUCGGACAAUGGUAGGAGAGCGUUCUAAGGGCGUUGAAGCAUGAUCGCAAGGACAUGUGGAGCGCUUAGAAGUGAGAAUGCCGGUGUGAGUAGCGAAAGACGGGUGAGAAUCCCGUCCACCGAUUGACUAAGGUUUCCAGAGGAAGGCUCGUCCGCUCUGGGUUAGUCGGGUCCUAAGCUGAGGCCGACAGGCGUAGGCGAUGGAUAACAGGUUGAUAUUCCUGUACCACCUAGUAUCGUUUUAAUCGAUGGGGGGACGCAGUAGGAUAGGCGAAGCGUGCUGUUGGAGUGCACGUCCAAGCAGUAAGGCUGAGUGUUAGGCAAAUCCGGCACUCGUUAGGCUGAGCUGUGAUGGGGAGAGGAAAUUGUUUCCUCGAGUCGUUGAUUUCACACUGCCGAGAAAAGCCUCUAGAUAGAUAACAGGUGCCCGUACCGCAAACCGACACAGGUAGUCAAGAUGAGAAUUCUAAGGUGAGCGAGCGAACUCUCGUUAAGGAACUCGGCAAAAUGACCCCGUAACUUCGGGAGAAGGGGUGCUCUUUAGGGUUCACGCCCAGAAGAGCCGCAGUGAAUAGGCCCAAGCGACUGUUUAUCAAAAACACAGGUCUCUGCUAAACCGUAAGGUGAUGUAUAGGGGCUGACGCCUGCCCGGUGCUGGAAGGUUAAGAGGAGUGGUUAGCUUCUGCGAAGCCACGAAUCGAAGCCCCAGUAAACGGCGGCCGUAACUAUAACGGUCCUAAGGUAGCGAAAUUCCUUGUCGGGUAAGUUCCGACCCGCACGAAAGGCGUAACGAUUUGGGCACUGUCUCAACGAGAGACUCGGUGAAAUCAUAGUACCUGUGAAGAUGCAGGUUACCCGCGACAGGACGGAAAGACCCCGUGGAGCUUUACUGUAGCCUGAUAUUGAAAUUCGGCACAGCUUGUACAGGAUAGGUAGGAGCCAUUGAAACGUGAGCGCUAGCUUACGUGGAGGCGUUGGUGGGAUACUACCCUAGCUGUGUUGGCUUUCUAACCCGCACCACUUAUCGUGGUGGGAGACAGUGUCAGGCGGGCAGUUUGACUGGGGCGGUCGCCUCCUAAAAGGUAACGGAGGCGCUCAAAGGUUCCCUCAGAAUGGUUGGAAAUCAUUCACAGAGUGUAAAGGCAUAAGGGAGCUUGACUGCGAGACCUACAAGUCGAGCAGGGUCGAAAGACGGACUUAGUGAUCCGGUGGUUCCGCAUGGAAGGGCCAUCGCUCAACGGAUAAAAGCUACCCCGGGGAUAACAGGCUUAUCUCCCCCAAGAGUUCACAUCGACGGGGAGGUUUGGCACCUCGAUGUCGGCUCAUCGCAUCCUGGGGCUGUAGUCGGUCCCAAGGGUUGGGCUGUUCGCCCAUUAAAGCGGUACGCGAGCUGGGUUCAGAACGUCGUGAGACAGUUCGGUCCCUAUCCGUCGUGGGCGUAGGAAAUUUGAGAGGAGCUGUCCUUAGUACGAGAGGACCGGGAUGGACAUACCUCUGGUGUACCAGUUGUCGUGCCAACGGCAUAGCUGGGUAGCUAUGUAUGGACGGGAUAAGUGCUGAAAGCAUCUAAGCAUGAAGCCCCCCUCAAGAUGAGAUUUCCCAACUUCGGUUAUAAGAUCCCUCGAAGAUGACGAGGUUAAUAGGUUCGAGGUGGAAGCGUGGUGACACGUGGAGCUGACGAAUACUAAUCGAUCGAAGACUUAAUCAAU